rnacentral:rRNA from 1 species
GUGGGGAAUCUUCCGCAAUGGACGAAAGUCUGACGGAGCAACGCCGCGUGAACGAUGACGGCCUUCGGGUUGUAAAGUUCUGUUAUACGGGACGAAUGGUACGACGGUCAAUACCCGUCGUAAGUGACGGUACCGUAAGAGAAAGCCACGGCUAACUACGUGCCAGCAGCCGCGGUAAUACGUAGGUGGCAAGCGUUGUCCGGAAUUAUUGGGCGUAAAGGGCGCGCAGGCGGCGUCGUAAGUCGGUCUUAAAAGUGCGGGGCUUAACCCCGUGAGGGGACCGAAACUGCGAUGCUAGAGUAUCGGAGAGGAAAGCGGAAUUCCUAGUGUAGCGGUGAAAUGCGUAGAUAUUAGGAGGAACACCAGUGGCGAAAGCGGCUUUCUGGACGACAACUGACGCUGAGGCGCGAAAGCCAGGGGAGCAAACGGGAUUAGAAACCCCUGUAGUCC